rnacentral:rRNA from 1 species
GGAGCCUGCGGUUUAAGUUGGACUCACGCCGGGCAGCUCACCGGAUAAGACAGCUGGAUGAUAGCCGGGCUGAAGACUCUGCUUGACUAGCUGAGAGGAGGUGCAUGGCCGUCGUCAGUUCGUACUGUGAAGCAUCCUGUUAAGUCAGGCGACGAGCGAGACCCACGCCAACAGUUGCCAGCAUGUCCUCCGGGAUGAUGGGGACACUGUUGGGACCGCCUCUGCUAAAGAGGAGGAAGGAAUGGGCAACGGUAGGUCAGCAUGCCCCGAAUUAUCCGGGCUACACGCGGGCUACAAUGGUCAGGACAAUGGGUAUCGACACCGAGAGGGUGGAGGCAAUCUCCUAAACCUGUCCUUAGUUCGGAUUGUGGGCUGCAACUCGCCCACAUGAAGCUGGAAUCGCUAGUAAUCGCGGAUCAGCAUGCCGCGGUGAAUACGUUCCCGGGCCUU